GCAGCCUGCCAACUGGUGGCUGUAUUACAUUCCACAAAGGCAGCACUGGUGAUGGAUUGACGCCAGCUGGAGAGAGGCAAUCCUGAAUCAAUUAAGGUGAUAUGAUGUGUCAUUACUGAGUUGCUGUUUGGCUGCUGCCACUGACCCGAUCCAACCCCCCCCCCCUCUGGCCAGGCUGAUGAACCAGAACUCCUCAAGCCCUCACAGUCAACAUCCACAAAAAUCCAUAAUUUACUGAACAUAUCCAUAUACUACACCAGCAAAUGGCCCAACAUCUUGGCAGAGGAGAGAGGCCUAGUGAUUCAGGCAGUGGUUGUCAAAAGUCAUUAGCAUGCAAUGGGAAACAUAACCUAAUUGGGAAUAAAAGAAAAAAAAGAAGGAAUACUGGUAUGGACUUUUGUAAGGCUUGUUAUCACCACAGAGUAGUAUGUAUCUACUGCUUAGAGCUUUGCCACGAGCCAAUGAGACAUUUUACUCAUUAGUGGUGUAAGUAAUACAGUAUGUUUCUAUUUGCCAAGUCAAAUAGUCCAGAGGUAUAAUAUGCUUCGGGGAAAUGUGCAUUUUUUUUUCCACUUCACAAAGCACUAAAUUGGUCAACUGUAAGUGUGAAACAACACACUUAAUGUAAUCAUGCCCAUAUUCCUAUAGUAUGCAAUCAAAUUUGUGUUACAGGAACAUUUGUUUUCAUCAUCACUUAAAGUAAUUUCUUGAUUACUGCUUGUGAACUGGGACUACAAAAAGAAAACUCUUCCUGCACCUUCUCAUCCCUCCAUACACAUUCACACUC